GUGGCGCACGGGUGAGUAACACGUGGGUAAUCUACCAAAGAGUCUGGAAUAACCUGCCGAAAGGCGGGCUAAUACUAGAUAGAGCGAUGGAGGUCGUGAAGAUCUCUUCGGAAAGGGGCGUAAGCUCUCGCUUUUGAUGAGCCUGCGUCUGAUUAGCUUGUUGGUGAGGUAACGGCUCACCAAGGCUGUGAUGGCUAGCUGGUCUGAGAGGAUGACCAGCCACACUGGGACUGAGACACGGCCCAGACUCCUACGGAGGCAGCAGUGGGGAAUAUUGCGCAAUGGGCGAAAGCCUGACGCAGCGACGCCGCGUGGGUGAUGAAGGCCUUCGGGUCGUAAAGCCCUGUCGCAGGGGAAGAAUAAGCAUCGGUAUAAUACGCCGGUGCCCUGACGGUACCCUGCAAGAAAGCACCGGCUAACUCCGUG
rnacentral:rRNA from 1 species